rnacentral:rRNA from 1 species
CCCCUAGAUGUUCUGGGCCGCACGCGCGCUACACUGAACAGUUCAACAAGUCUUAACCUUGGCCGAUAGGUCUGGGUAAUCUUUGAACGCUGUUCGUGAUUGGGAUAAACCUUUGCAAUUAUGGGUCUUCAACGAGGAAUUCCUAGUAAACGCAAGUCAUCAGCUUGCAUUGAUUACGUCCCUGCCCUUUGUACACACCGCCCGUCGCACCUACCGAUUGAAUGGUCCGGUGAAAUCUCGGGACGGCGGCUUGGUCGCUUGCGUCCGACUGCUGAAACUUGAUUAAACCAUAUCAUUUAGAGGAAGGUGAAGUCGUAACA